UCUCUCACUAAAUCUUUCCUACUCUUAACCUCUGUUGUUCCUACAAUUCAUUCUUUGAUUUUAGAGAACACGAACUCGCAUUUUGGAUAUCUAGUAGGUUUGGAAGUUUCAUCUCUUCCCCUUGUAUCACCAGCAAUGAGAAAAUAACUAAGACACAACAUUUCUUCAUUUGAUCCAAUCCCAUUUGCAGUCCUAUUCAGGAAUUUGUUGCCUAUCUUGUUCAUAUUUUGACACGUUUUCCCCCAAUAAUUUCAAAACUGUAACUCUUACAUUUAGGUCUUUAAUUUAUUUUGACUUUAUUUUGUACAGGGGGAGAGAUAGAGAUGUAGUUUCAAAUCUUCUAUUUAAGGAUAUCCAGUUUCCCCAGCACCAUUUGUUAAAGUGAUUGUUUUUUCUCCAACAUAUAUUGUUGGCAUCUUUGUUGAGAGUCAGAGGCUGUUGCUCUAUGGAUUUAUUUCUGGAUCCUCUAUUCAAUUCCUUUGGUCUGUUUUUAUUUUUAUUCUAAUAUUGUACCAGUUUUGUUACCAUGGCUCUAUAGGAUAUUUUUGAAAUCGAGUGAUGAUGCUUCCAGUAUUACUAUCUUUUGCUUUGGCUAUUCAGGAACUUUUUGUUUCCAUGUAUAUUUUAAGAUCCUUCUUUUCCUAGUGCUAUAAAGAAUGACAUUGAUAUGUAGAUGGAGAUUGCAUUGAAUCUAUAAAUUUUGGUAGUAUGACUAGUUUAAUAAAAUUGCUUCUCCCAAUGCAUGAACAUAAGAGGUUAUUUCUUCUUCUAGUAUCUUCUUCAGUUUCUUUCUUCAGUGUUUUAUAAUUUUCAUUGCAGGCACAGGUACAUGGAGAUGCCCCAUGGUAGCCACACUUGCAGUCCAAAGUAUCAACUUGCACCAGGAGUUUGAGCUUCUAAGUUCAUGGCUGCUGCCAAGCUAGAGUUUAAUGGAUGGUAGAGGAAAAGGCAUUAGGAUAGAGUAUCCAUCCUUUCCAAAAGAGAGGUCAAGGGCUGGCGAUUUAGCUCAGUGGUUCCACCACCUGCCUCUCAAGCUAAGGACCCGAGUUCAAUCCCCAGUACCAAAAAAAAAAAAAAAGCCAAAACAAAAGAGAGGUCAAGGGCCAGGGAUUUAGCUCAAUGGCACCGUGUCUGCUUGCAAGCACAAGGUCCUGAGUUCGAUCCCUGGUACUGGGGGAAAAAGAGAGAGAGAAAGGACAAAAGAGAGGUCAAGGCAGUCUUAAAGAGAUGGGAUUCUGUCAUUAACAGUUGAAUAGGCAACUAUUACAGAAAAGCACCUUGAAUUAUCCCCAAGACCAAAGAAGGCAACUACCACAUAUGAGUAUCACGAGUUUACAGAUACAGCAUCCAGCUGCAGUAGAAGUGAUCUGUCAAAUGAAGAUAAGACACUAAAUCCCAGAGAGAUUAUAGACCUGGCUCUAGGAUAGCCAGAUUUUAUAAAAUGAAUAUUUUAUGCCUAGAAGAUGGGGCCAGCGAAGGUAAAUUGCUGUUAAAACUUUGGCUAGGACUUCUAAGAAAUGUUUGAAUUCCAUUUUCUGUCUCUUUAGUGCCAAAGCCAGUUCUCCUAAUGUUCACAUAAUGUUGCCUUCUUGCAAGCUUGUUUUUUGUUUGUUUGUUUGUUUUGUGGUACCAGGGAUCGAACUCGGGACCUUGCACUUAGGAGGCAGACAGCAGAAACACUGAGCUAAAUCCCCAGCCCACAAGCUUGUUUUUAGUAGGUAAUAAUAUGACAACCAAUGUAUGGUAGAAAAAUAACAUUACCAAGUCUCCAUGCUGGUGGCAUUUUAUGUCCUAUCAUGUUUUAGACAAUUAAGACAGUUUCUCAACCUUAGCACCAGGUAAUCUUUUGCUGUGGAGAGAACUUCUUGUGCAUCCUGUGGGGGAUAUUUUGCAGCAUUCCUGGGCUCUUCCUGCUGGAUCACAGUAGCCCCGCCACCACCACCAAGCCCUGGUUUUAACAACUAAAAGGUGUUGUGAGAAGUCUCCUGAAAAUCACUUCCAGUUGAUAACCACUGACACAUUAUUAUGAAAAUUAUGUCAUUUUACAAAUUUUAAAAUAUAUAGUUCUCGAGUAUUUAAAAGUUUUAAUACUUUCAAAAUAAAUUUGUGACUUUUACCUCCAUUAGUUCAUGUUGCUUAGUCAAGGUUAGGUUUGGACAGACAGCCUCCCUAGAAAGCAGUUAAGUUCCUUUGACCACUUUGUAUUCCAUUUUGGUAACUACCACUGACAUUUUAGAGGUACUGGGUGAAGUAUAUUUUAAAUUUAUACAGAAGUUGAUGAUGCUUACGUCCUUAAUUCAGCCAUAUUAAUUGAAAUUCGUUGUGAUAUAACUCUUGGUUUUUCUUUACAUUUCAAUACUAAAAAUUAUAUGGUUUUUAUGGUGAAUAGUAUGGCAUAUGAAUUAUGUCUCAUUAAUGCUGGUAUCUUAUUUAUUUAUUUUUAAUUUUUUUUAAGACAGGGUCUUGCUAUAUAGUUUGUGCUUAACAACCUACUUGUUAAAUGACUGUUUGGACUAUUAACCUGCUGCUUGGAUUUAUGAACCACUGCUUAGAAUUACAACUGGCAAUCAGUUAGGAUGCAGGAAUGUGAACAGCAGUGCUGCCUUAGGUGGCUUCUUCUACAGUGCAGUAUUGUAAGUUUUGCUGCUUGUACAAUACAGUACAGUACUGUAGUUUUAUGUUCUAUUAUACAUUACAGUACUGCAUAUAAGUUAUUCAAAUAAAGGCAAAGUUAUCAAAUUGAAGUUUCCUGACCAUUUCUUUGUUGUGAAUAUAAUAAUGUACACACUAUAUACAAUUCCUCAUUUAGUAACCAAUUCAAUUAACAAUCUAGUCACAGGAAUGAAAUAAGGAAUGCCUGUAUGUAAUCCUGUCUUUGGCAUGUAGGGUAAUUUGACUCUCUCCUUUAAUAUUUGUAGCACUUUUAUUUCUUUCUCUGGCCUGAUUGCUCUGGCUAACAUUUCCAGUACUAUAAUGAACAGGAGUGGUGAGGGUGGAUACCCUUAUCUUGUUCCUGCUUUUAGAGAAAAUAUGUUCAGUUUUUCCAUUCAGUACAAUGUUGUAGGAGGUAGAUUUCUGGAGAGAAGUAUUUGUCUGGUUGGUAGCUGGUGACUGUCCAUUGUUCCCCAGGGUGGAUAGAACCCUUCCCCAGUGAGGUGAGGCAAUUGACCCUCAGCUGACGUUAGAGGGAAGGUAUGAACAAUACUAGGUGUGGUCAUUUCCUAGCAUCACAAAGUACCACAAACUGGGUGGCUCAAAACAACAGAAAUGUAUUCUCUGACCAUCCUGGAGGCUGGAGGUCUGAGAUAGGUGUCAUCAGAGCCCUGCUCCCUCUGAGGGCUCUAGGGAAAGAUCCUUUGCCACAUCUUCCUAGUUUCUGGUGGUUCCUGAGUGUUCCUUGACUGAGUCAACAUAAUUACAAUCUCUGCCCACAUCUAGUACUGUGUCUCUGCUUUCUCUUAAGGACACCAGUCAUGGAAUUAAGGGCCCACUCUGAUCCAGCAUGACCUUAUAACUGGUUACAUCUGCAAAGACCCUAUUUCCAAAUAAGAUCAGAUUCAUAGGUACUCAGAUGUAUUAGGACUUCAGCAUAUCUUGAUGGGGACACAAUUCAACCCUAACAUGAGCAUGCAGACAAGUUGCCUGCUAUGGUGGAGCUGGGAUUCUGGCAGGUUACAUCUGUAAAAAUACUUUUGGGUGCAGACAAGAACUCCAUCUGAAACCUACUUUUAAAUCAAAACCAUGUUAUCUCACAUAACAAAAAGUCUAGGGCAGGAAAGAUUCCAAGCAUAUUGCAUCUGGAAACUCAUCUCUAUGUGCCUUGGCUCUGCUUUUUCCAGGAGGCUCCUCCUUCUAUUAGCUUCCCUCACUGUCCAAACAAAGGUCUCCAUCAGCAGCUGCAGUGAUAUACAGUAUUUCCUCUUGUUAGUGGAAAAGAAGGGCUAUGCCAAUCGUGUAAUAAGAAAGCACUUUUCUUGGCUCUUCCUGCAACAAUCUCUGGACAUCCAGCCAUGGCUUCUCACCCUUGGAACCGGGGCAAGGGGAGGAGUUGGGGGUUAGGAGGUACACUGUCUCCUUCCCCUAGAGCACAGGCUGGAGUGAGGAGUGCAUUAGCCCCAGCUGCCUUACCAAAGUACCACAUACCUGGUGGAAUAAAUAACAAAUUUGUUCUUUCACAGUUCUGUGGCCUAAAAGUCUGAGAUCAAGGUAUGAACAGGGCUGGUUUCUUCUGAGGCCUCUCCUUGGCUUGUAAAUGGUUGCCUUCUCUUCUCUGUGUCUUUACGUGAUCUUUCCUUCUAUGUGAUUGUGACCUAAUCUCUUCUUUUUGGGACGCUAAGUAUCCCAAUGUUAGGGCCCAUGCUAGUGACAUCAUUGUAAUUAAUUACUUCUUUAAAGAGCCUGUCUCCACACACAGACACAUUCUGAGGUCCUGGGAGUUAAGACUUCCACAAAUGAAAUUGGUAGUGUGUGUGUUCAGCCUAUUAGGAAGGAAGAUGGUGGAAGGAGGGUGGUCUUUCAGAAGUGGAAAACAGAAAUGAAUCCUGGAUGGGCAGCCAACAGAGUCCAGGAUAUGGGGAGAGAUUUGUAUAUGAUAAUUUCAGGUAAGAAAAAGUGCUUUUAAAGAAAAUAAAACAAGGUAAGGUAAUUUAGAUUAGAGGGGGUAAGCAGCAUUGGCAAGGGUGGUUGCAGAGGCCUCUAUGAAAAAGAAUACCCCCCACCAAAAAGAAUCAGGGUCAAGAACUGUGGAAUAGGAUGCUGUUAUUUAUCAUGUCUAUAUAUAUUUUUUUGGUACCUGGGAUUGAACUCAGGACCCUGCACUUGCAAGACAGGCAGCAGAACCAUGAGCUAAAUCCCCAGCUCUCAUGUCUAUAUUUUUAAAUGGAAGAGUAAAAGGAAAAAAAUUACUUAUUUGGGUGGAGGAAAGAGUGGAAAGGAUUGGGCUAGAAGAUAGAUUUCUCUGAAUAAACUUUAUUUUGUUGAUUUGACUUUGGAACUAUGUAAAUCAUUUACUUAAUUAUAAAACAAAAUUUAAAUUAUAAUGAAUUUCUAAAAAUUUAGCAAAAUAAAGUGAAGCUAUCCUGAUUAUAGUUUGAGGAAUGAUCAGAGAGAGAGGAACUAUUUCAAGCAAUUUUGAAAAAGCAAGUUGACUGUAUAUUCCUAAUGGCAUAAACUUGAGGACAAAAAGAAUUACAUAACAAGCCAAGUGCAGGGUAGGCCUGUAAUCCCACCACUCUGGGAGGCUGAGGCAGAGGCUCACAAGUUCAAGCUCAGCUUGGGCAAUUUAGAAUUUAGUAAGACUCUGUCUCAAAAUAAAAAUUAAAAAGGGCUCAAGAUGUAGCUCAGUGUGAAGGCCCUGGGUUCAAUUCACAGUGCUGGAAAAAACAACAGCAAUGAAAGAAACAACUUUUUAGUAAAAAUUUUUUACAGUAGUGUUGGCAUUGUUAUUUGGAGGAUUUUUUUAAAUGCAUGAUUAUUUUGUUGAUGUUGAGAGAAUUGUCAGAAUGAGAAAAAGGAAAGCAGAUGCAGAUCAAUGAAGUUAUGGUAAAAACCAUAAAACCAAAAACUGUACUUAUGAACUGAAUUGGAAGAAUCAACAUAAAGUCAUGUAAUGCUUUAUCUUUUUAAAAAAAUAGUAAUAAAUUUAUUUGCUAGUUGUAUCCAUGAAAGGCAAGAAACAAUGACCUAACAACCAACCAUCCCGGUGAGCACUCUAGUAUGGAGAUUUUUUUUUUUUUUUUGAGACAAGAUUUCACUUUGUAGUUCAGGUCGGCCUUGAACUCAUGGUGAUCUUUCUGACUCACCCUCCCGAAUGCUGGAAUUACAGGCCUAUACCACCACUCUUUGGGAGAUCUUAAUCUCCACCAUUUCCUACUUUCCCUACUAGAAGGAACCAAAGAUUCUUGGGAAGAAAUGGCUGGACAGAAUAUACAUAAGAUGUGCUUGAAACACCUUGUCAGACAAAAUAAUUAGGAGACUAGCAAGACUAGUAGAGUCAGGUCCAAAGGAAUGAGCCAAUUUGAAGCAGCUUCCAGGGGUUAAAGAUAGCAACAAUAAGAACAACUGCAAUGGCUGGAAACACACAUCACAUGUGUAUCAACCCCGAGUCCUCAAUGUACUCAAAAAAAUAAAAAGCAACCCUCACUGGUCACCUUGGAAAGAUGGAUACCAAGGAAACACCUCAUUUUUAAAACUGGAAAAUAAAGAGAACCAGAGAAAACAUUAAUUUAUCUUUCCUUUCUUAUACAAACAAAAUCUCAAGGUAGCCAAAUAAUUGGUGAAAGGACUUUUCUUUUUAUAAAGUAUAGCAGCUAAUAAAUGAAAAAACCCAAUAGCUCUACAAUGUUAAUCACAACCACUAAAGAAAUAAUGGUUCUAAGACCAGGGAUGUAGCUCAGCAGCACUGCACCUGCCCAGCAAGCCCAACGUCCUGAGUUUGAUCCCCGCUACUGGAAAAAAAAAAAAAAAAAAAAGUAAUAGUUCUAUGCAAUAAUCAUCAGGGGCUAACAAUACCAGGAAAGAGAUACAACUAGAUAUUAUUUGCCUCCUCCAGAGGGAUCUAUCACCACCAAUAAUGUGGUCUUGCCAAAAUAAAGCUAACUUGAACCUAAGUAAAUCUCUAGAUAUAACUACUGAUUUAUAAGAAAUAUAGAAGACAGAGGAACAUGUUAACAAAUACCAGAGAUGCACUCAGGAAUAUCCAGACUGUGAGAAUUUUUCCAGAGUAAACUACCCAAUAUUCCAUCUCUAGUACGUUUCUAGGUUAGUCUACUUUACAGUGAUGUGUGACAACCACUGCUUAAAACUGAGAUUAAAAGAGACUUGCAAGGCCCUUCAUCAGAUUACAAUGUAUGGGCAAAAUUCAAGCAGACAGACAAAAAAAUCAAGUCAGGGAAAUUUGAACAAUGACUAAAUACUUGAAAGUAUUGAUGAAUCUUUUUUUUUUAGGUAUGAAUGUUAUUGAGGUUAUGUUUUUGUAAAAAGUCCUAGGAGACACAUGCUGAAAUCUUCACAGAGGAAAUGAUAGGAUGUCCUGUAUCUGUUUCAACACCAUCAUAAGGACAAGGAUAAACCAUCCUGGACACCAUCUUCAUAUGACAUUUGAUCACUCAACUGGUGACACACUUCCUUCCCUCCACCUCAUACCAGGGCAAAAAUGAGGCAUUUUUAAAUAAAGUAUGUGAGGAAAUCUCCCCAGUAGAUUAAUGUGUAUUUGAGUAUGAAGAUUCCCUCACAAUGAA